GCCCCCCCCCCCCCCCCCCCCCCCCCUUCUUUCCGAUCCGUUUUCAUCAGGCGCGGCGGCGUCGGCGAAUCAAGGGCUGCUACCCACGUAGUAGUCGCUGCCUGCAACGGAGGAGUCAGGUUCCGUUCUUCUCGCGAAGGCCUCGCCAUUCUUCUCACCUGCGGACUGCAGCGAUGGCGGCGGCUCUCCCCGAUCCGGUUUGGUCAGAUCGCCGAGUCAAGGCAGACGGAGCGGCGGCGGCUCCCUCUCCACAUCGGGAUUUCGGCUCCCUCUGCUGAUUUAGAUAACUUGCUUCGGAUUUCAUUUGUUGAUGAGGACUGUGAGAAGCUCCGAUCAAUUGAUUUAUCACCUCUUUCUGCUUCUGGAAACGAUGCCUGGAGAAUGGCUCUUUAUACUAGAGUUCUGUCAGUCAUUUCAAAUGGCAUCAGUAUUGGUGUCAAGCACUUGGAGUUUCUUGCCUUUUCCUCAAGCCAACUGCGAGAUAACUCUGCAUGGAUAUUUGGUUCUCGGACGGGAUUCACUGCAAGUGACAUCAGGAAGUCGAUGGGGGACUUUCGCAACAUCAGAAAUGUGGCAAACCGCUACAAGCUGAUGUCUUGUGUAUAUGACUUGCAGCUUCUAUGUGCUAUCGUUUCACUUCAGGAGUUAUGCUGCUUAUGAAUGUUUUUAACGUUGAUGAUUCUGUGCCAAAUAUCGUUCCGAGUCCAGUAACAUCAGCUUGUA